CAAAACAUCAUCAAUAACAAAAUCAUUCUUCCCUUCAGCCUUGACAUACUUUAGACUCUUCUCAUUCCCAUUACCACUCAAAUCAAAGCAACCAACGCAUUCCGUACUCAACUUCUUCUUACUCAAACAUUCAAAGCUCUUGCAACCAAAGCUACUCCAACUCAUGGCAAUCUUAUCACUGACGGAAUUCCAUAGAGAGACGGGAAAAGGUUUAAGCAGAAGACCUACCUUGGGAACAAACUUAGCAAAGCACCUCCUUCUGGGCAAAGGCUCACAUCCACGAAG
rnacentral:lncRNA from 1 species